GGGCCGGUAGCAUAACGGUUAAUGCCAACCGCUCAUAACGGUUUCGAUGGGGGUUCAAAUCCCUCCCGGCCCACCA
rnacentral:tRNA from 1 species